rnacentral:rRNA from 1 species
UACGUAGGGUGCGAGCGUUGUCCGGAAUUACUGGGCGUAAAGGGCUCGUAGGUGGUUUGUCGCGUCGUCUGUGAAAUUCCGGGGCUUAACUCCGGGCGUGCAGGCGAUACGGGCAUAACUUGAGUACUGUAGGGGUAACUGGAAUUCCUGGUGUAGCGGUGAAAUGCGCAGAUAUCAGGAGGAACACCGAUGGCGAAGGCAGGUUACUGGGCAGUUACUGACGCUGAGGA